CUUGCUGCUUCGCUGACGAGUGGCGGACGGGUGAGAAAUGUCUGGGAAACUGCCUGAUGGAGGGGGAUAACUACUGGAAACGGUAGCUAAUACCGCAUAACGUCGCAAGACCAAAGAGGGGGACCUUCGGGCCUCUUGCCAUCGGAUGUGCCCAGAUGGGAUUAGCUAGUUGGUGGGGUAACGGCUCACCAAGGCGACGAUCCCUAGCUGGUCUGAGAGGAUGACCAGCCACACUGGAACUGAGACACGGUCCAGACUCCUACGGGAGGCAGCAGUGGGGAAUAUUGCACAAUGGGCGCAAGCCUGAUGCAGCCAUGCCGCGUGUAUGAAGAAGGCCUUCGGGUUGUAAAGUACUUUCAGCGGGGAGGAAGGGAGUAAAGUUAAUACCUUUGCUCAUUGACGUUACCCGCAGAAGAAGCACCGGCUAACUCCGUGCCAGCAGCCGCGGUAAUACGGAGGGUGCAAGCGUUAAUCGGAAUUACUGGGCGUAAAGCGCACGCAGGCGGUUUGUUAAGUCAGAUGUGAAAUCCCCGGGCUCAACCUGGGAACUGCAUCUGAUACUGGCAAGCUUGAGUCUUCGU
rnacentral:rRNA from 1 species